AUUGAACGCUGGCGGCCGGCCUAACACAUGCAAGUCGAACGAGUGGCGGACGGGUGAGUAAUGUCUGGGAAACUGCCCGAUGGAGGGGGAUAACUACUGGAAACGGUAGCUACUACCGCAUACCAUCGGAUGUGCCCAGAUGGGAUUAGCGAGUAGGUGGGGUAACGGCUCACCUAGGCGACGAUCCCUAGCUGGUCCGAGAGGAUGACCGGCCACACUGGGACUGAGACACGGUCCAGACUCCUACGGGAGGGAGCAGUGGGGAAUAUUGCACAAUGGGCGCAAGCCUGAUGCAGCCAUGCCGCGUGUAUGAAGAAGGCCUUCGGGUUGUAAAGUACUUUCAGCGAGGAGGCGUUACUCGCAGAGGAAGCACCGGCUAACUCCGUGCCAGCAGCCGCGGUAAUUC
rnacentral:rRNA from 1 species